GCUAACACACAGGGACAGACAACCAUUCGUACUCACAUUCACUCCCAUGGGCAAUUUAGAUUAACCAAACCUGUCCUCACUACUGCAUAUUUUUGGACUGUGGGAGGAAGCCGGAAUAGCUGGAGAGAACCCACGCAAACACGGGGAGAACAUGCAAACUCCACACAGAAAGACCACGGCCUGAUGGUGGAAUUGAACUCAGGACCUUCUUGCUGUGUGGCAACAGUGCUAACCAUCGUGCUGCCCAGCCUGAGGUGUUCUUCAGUAAACUGGACUACCCGACAGAAGGACCCGAGGCCCCGCUGGACCCCGCUGGAAACGUGUUUAUAAGCUAAGUUCGUUUAGCUAAUCUGUGCAGGAGCUGCCCUCAGAUUCAGACCUCAGCCCCAUCGAGUGACAGCAGACAGAUCAUCC